UGGGGAAUUUUGGACAAUGGGGGCAACCCUGAUCCAGCAAUGCCGCGUGUGUGAAGAAGGCCUUCGGGUUGUAAAGCACUUUUGUCCGGGAAGAAAUCCCCUGCCCUAAUACGGCGGGGGGAUGACGGUACCGGAAGAAUAAGCACCGGCUAACUACGUGCCAGCAGCCGCGGUAAUACGUAGGGUGCGAGCGUUAAUCGGAAUUACUGGGCGUAAAGCGUGCGCAGGCGGUGAUGUAAGACCGAUGUGAAAUCCCCGGGCUCAACCUGGGAACUGCAUUGGUGACUGCAUUGCUCGAGUAUGGCAGAGGGGGGUGGAAUUCCACGUGUAGCAGUGAAAUGCGUAGAGAUGUGGAGGAACACCGAUGGCGAAGGCAGCCCCCUGGGCCAAUACUGACGCUCAUGCACGAAAGCGUGGGGAGCAAACAGGAUUAGAUACCCUGGUAGUCCACGCCCUAAACGAUGUCAACUGGUUGUCGGGCCUUCAUUGGCUUGGUAACGUAGCUAACGCGUGAAGUUGACCGCCUGGGGAGUACGGUCGCAAGAUUAAAACUCAAAUGAAUUGACGGGGUCAUAGCUGUUUCCU
rnacentral:rRNA from 1 species